UUUCAGACAGCCUUUUUUGUGCCAAGGCAGGAUGCUGGGCUGGUAAAGCCUUUAGAGCAGAAUGUCUGAGCUUUGUUCUAUCAACAUGGCUCUUAGCUUCCAUUUUUUUCAUCUCUAAAAUUGGAAUAAUAUUUUUAAAUGACCGUUUAUUUAAGACAAUAACACAAGCACUGUGCUAAGUGUAUUGUGCUCACUCACUUCAUUGUGUCCGACUCUUUGUGACCCCGUGGACCGUAGCCCACCAGGCUCCUCUGUCCAUGUGGUUCUCCAGGCAAGAAUACUGGAGUGGGUGGCCACUUCCUUCUCCAGGGAUUUUCCUGAUCCAGGGAUCGAAAAAUCCACGCCUCUUACAUCUCCUGCAUUGACAGGUCGUUGGGAAGAUUACUCAAGAUGAUGUGCAAGACAAUUGCUGAGUGACUGAUACAUCAUCAGAGCGCAGUGGAAGAUGACUGCUAACCAUUUUCAAAGGUCGCCGCAGAGCACCGAGUAGAGCUCCCCUGGGCUAUGCAGCAGGCUCUCACCGGUCGUCUAUUUUACACAUAGUGCUCUGUUGUUGUUCGGUUGCCCAGCCCUGUCCGACUCUUUGCGACCCCACGGACUGCAGCACUCCAGACCUCCCUGGAAAGUCUGUGUGACAGCCUCUAGGUGUGUCCACCUCUCUGUGAAUGACCCGACAGCACUCCUUUUAAUGGCACAAUGCAGAAGCAGCACCCAUCGCCUGCCAACAUCUCGUUGCCUCCUCUCUCAUCCCAUCGGGCAGAACUUAGCUGUACGGCCACGUCUAGCUUCAAGGAAGCCUGGGAUGUGUGGUCUGUCUGUUGUGUCCACAUAAAAAUCAGGGCUUGUGAUGGUUCAUUUUAUGUGUCAACUUGACCAGGCUAAGGGGCACCCAGACAGCUGGCAACAAAUAAUGUCUAGGGGUGUCUAUGAGGGUGUUUCUACAAGAGGUGGGCCUUUGGUUCGGUAGACUGAAGCUUCCCUCACCUGUAGGCUCUUCUCUCACCAACGUGGGUGGCGUCACCCAGCGCAUGGAGGCCCACAUAGAAGUGAAGGAAGGGUGACUUCUUUCCUCUUCUUGAGCUGGGAGGUCCAUCUUUUCCUGCCCUCAGAUAUCAGGACUCCUUGACUCAGACCAAGUUACACUAGCAGCCUUCCUGGGUCACCAGCCUGCAGACGGCAGACUGUGGGGCGUCCUGGGCUCCGUAACCCUGUGAAGCAGUCCCUCCAAUAAAUCUCAUCUUAUAUCUCUCUAUGUACCCAAUUGGUUCCGUUUCUCUGGAGUAGUACAGUAACCCUGACUAAUACAGGAAUUCUAUUGUUGUAGAAAAACCAAAAUAGACAUUGGGAACCACUAGCAAUUUCCACCACAGCACUUUAGAGUUUUGUCACAAGUCUCAAGGGCCAUGUAAAUGGGAGAGUGUUUGGUGAACCCUAAAGGGGAAGAAAAACCCACGCUGGGCUAAGCCUGGCUGCAGACUUCUUCUAAAGAAACUCUUACGCCACAAAUCCUGCGAUUCUUACCAACUCAUAAAAGUCAGGAAGAUGGCACAACCCCCACCUCAAAUUUCCCCAUGACGGGGGCUCAAGGUAGGGUUGGGGAUGUGUUUGGGGUUUGGGUUAAGGUUAGAGUGAGGGUUAUCGUUGGAUUAGGUUUAGAGACAGGGUUAGGGUUAGGGUAGAGACAGGGUUCAGUUUAGAAGCUAGAGAUAGAGUUAGCUUGGUUUCAGUGGGGAGUCACAGCUGAGGCCUGAGUGCAGGCACAAUGAUGACCAGGAUUCAGAAUGUCUGAGGCUUCACCAUUAGCUGGACGGCAGGUCAUUUGAUUUUCACACGUGCUAUCUUUCCUAGGACGGGCUCAGAAUGCCCUCACCUCCUCACGUGUCCCACCAAACAAGUGAGUCUGCUGAUGGCCCAGUUGACAUCAAAGUGCCUCGGACCUGGGCACUGGGAUGGUCUCGUGUUGCCGCAUCUGCCCAUCUGCUCUUGACUUUUCUUAUCUCCAAAAGAAGGAGAGAGGCCUCCAGGAUCUCCAGCAUUCCAUCGAAGCAAGAUCUCGCUGUAAGUCUGGGGUUCCAGAGUCUCUGCAGAAGACAGUUGGGGAUGGGGGCAGUGCCCACGGCUCCCUCUGCGGUUCUGAAUGGUGCCCCGUGACUCCACUCCCAGUCACCGCCCGGCCGGCGCUCCGGUUCAGCCGAGGUCUGGGCGUGGCAGGCCAACCCGCUGCCCUGACCGAGGUAUACCCAGGGAGACGCGGGUGCUGUUUACACAGGCCCGGAGCUGGGGCCUGCCUCGCCCUGGCCCGAGCCUCUUACUGCUCUGCGAACUGGAAUUCCCCAAAUUUUCCCCCAAAUUAAAAGAACUAACAAACUGUAUUGCAAAAACAAACAGAGUUUGUUUUUCUUUUAACAAAUAAAAACUAAUUUAUGCUCUAGCUUUGUUGCCUUGAAUCAACCCGACCGCACAAUUUCGCUGCCAACA
ensembl:lncRNA